rnacentral:rRNA from 1 species
UACAGAGGGCGCAAGCGUUGUUCGGAAUUACUGGGCGUAAAGGGCGCGUAGGCGGCCUUCUAAGUCGAACGUGAAAUCCCCGGGCUCAACCCGGGAACUGCGUCCGAUACUGGAAGGCUUGAAUCCGGGAGAGGGAUGCGGAAUUCCAGGUGUAGCGGUGAAAUGCGUAGAUAUCUGGAGGAACACCGGUGGCGAAGGCGGCAUCCUGGGCCGGUAUUGACGCUGAGGCGCGAAAGCCAGGGGAGCAAACGGG